rnacentral:rRNA from 1 species
AUGCGUAAAUAUAUGGAGGAACACCAGAGGCGUAGGCGGCUCGCUGGGUCUUAACUGACGCUGAGGCACGAAAGCGUGGGGAGCAAACAGGAUUAGAUACCCUGGUAGUCCACGCCGUAAACGAUGAGUACUAAGUGUCGGGUUAAACCGGUACUGAAGUUAACACAUUAAGUACUCCGCCUGAGUAGUACGUACGCAAAAGUAUGAAACUUAAAGGAAUUGACGGGACUCCGCACAAGCGGUGGAUCAUGUUGUUUAAUUCGAAGAUACCCGAAAAACCUUACCAGGUCUUGACAUGUUUUUGCAAAAUGAUAGUAAUAUCGUGGAGGUUACCAGAAACACAGGUGGUGCAUGGUUGUCGUCAGCUCGUGUCGUGAGAUGUUAGGUUAAGUCCUAAAACGAGCGAAACCCUUAUCGUUAGUUGCCAGCACGUUAUGGUGGGGACUUUAACGAGACUGCCAAUGAUAAAUUGGAGGAAGGUGAGGAUCACGUCAAAUCAGCAUGCCCCUUAUGACCUGGGCUACAAACGUGAUACAAUGGCUGUACAAGUCCUUUUUAAAAA